rnacentral:lncRNA from 10 species
CCAAAGAGCAGGCCACAGCAGCUGGACAAAGGAAGGUCCUCAGCCUCCAGUCGCCUCUCUGUGCAUGCAGUCGGUCACUGAUCUCGCCUACUGGCACAGACGUGUUUCCAGACAAUCCAGAUGAUGCUUCUGCUACAGCGACAUGGUGCCCAGUCCCAAGGCGCAAGGGCCACUUGUGUCAGCAGUGUGCACCAGCAGCGUGCGCCGGCAAGAUAGCAGAAGCAUGAAAAGGGCCGGCCAGAAGACACCUACUCUGGCUGGAAGACACGUACCCCUGAAGAUCAAGAAAGAAGCUAUCUGGGAACAAUGUAGCAGUUACGUCAGACCAGGACACUUCCUGUUUACAGGAGACUAUAAAACCUUUGUCCUAUCAUCACUUGAUGUGGACGCCAUUUUAGGCCUCAGCCCGCCUGCACCCAGGCACUGAUUAAAACAGCAUGUUG